rnacentral:misc_RNA from 1 species
GUGUCCAAGUGAUUUUGCAAAUCUUGGCUUGGAUUGUUGGCUGGUAGUGCAAUCUAAUAUUAUUAUAGUUUGGUAGUUUAUUUUAUUUUGGCACAAUAUUCAUUUGGAUAAAAAAUACUAGAAUGGAGUCAGAAAUCAAGGAAGAAAUUGAAGCAUUCCUGAAUACUCCAAUGGAUAUUGGCAGAAGCGACCAUGAAUCAUCCUUGAAGGCUGAAUUAGACUAUGAGAAUCAGUCAAAAGUGUCCACAUGUGACCAAAUAACAGAUAGCAAAUCACCAGUCUCAGAGCACAAUUCAUUAAGUGGAGAAUCAGAUUCCAGGUUGACUAAGGCCAUUGAAAAAGAAGUGUGUGGUGGUAGAAUAGCCGAAGUAGUAUCAUUAAGGCUGGAGGAUUCGUUUGAAGGCUGCAAUCAACAGAAGUCGUGUCCAUACCAGAUGGCGACAGUUACUGUUAAAAAGGAGGAGGAGGAGGAGGAGGAGGAUGAUGAUGAUAGAAGCCAGCAACCAGCUGCAGUGGAAGAUGAUUGCAGCCAACAACAUUAUCUAAUCCCUGGCUACAACAUGAUCUUUAUCAAAGAGGAGGCAUAUGACGAUCAAGAGGCUGAAGGAAGUGCAGUGAAGAGUGAACCAGAGAUGUGGCCUUCAAACUGCAGCACAUCUGGCCGAGACUAUGCAACAGAAGUGGGUGGACUGAAUGAGCAUUCAAUCUCUCCAGUGGAAAAGUGCACUGAGUCAUCUGUGGCUGGCAAAAAGAUUAAACUCCACAGCUGUGCUUACUGUAGCUAUGAAACAGCAAGGUUCACUGAUUUCAAGAGGCACAUUGGAAAACACACCGGAGGAAAACCAUUCAAUUGCGAGUUUUGUGACUACAAAAGUGCUAAGUUAGAUAAUAUGAAAAGACAUAUCAGAACUCAUACAGCAGAAAAACCUUUCAGUUGCGAGUUUUGUGACUACAGAAGUGCAAGGUUAGGUAAUUUGAAAGCACAUAUCAGAACACAUAAUGGAGAAAAACCUUUCAGCUGCGAAUUUUGUGAUUUUAAAAGUUCAAGGUUAGGUGAUUUGAAAGCACAUAUCAGAACACAUACUGGAGAAAAACCUUUCAGCUGCGAGUUUUGUGACUACAAAAGUGCUGAUUUUAGUAGUUUGAAAAAACAUCUCAGAACACAUACUGGAGAAAAACCUUUCAGCUGUAAGUUUUGUGAAUAUAAAUGUGCUGAUCCAAGUUGUUUGAAAAAACAUAUUAGAACACAUACUGGAGAAAAACCUUUCAGCUGCGAUUUUCGUGACUAUAAAAGUGCAACGUUGGGUGAUUUAUGUCCACAUGUGACCAAAUAACAGAUAGCAAAUCACCAGUCUCAGAGCACAAUUCAUUGAGUGGAGAAUCAGAUUCCAGGCUGACUAAGGCCAUUGAAAAAGAAGUGUGUGGUGGAAGAAUAGCCAAAGUAGUAUCAGUAAGUUUGGAGGAUUCGUUUGAAGGCUGCAAUCAACAGAAGUUAUGUCCAUACCAGGU